rnacentral:rRNA from 1 species
CUGAGGGAUAUUGCACAAUGGGCGAAAGCCUGAUGCAGCGACGCCGCGUGGGUGACGAAGUCCUUCGGGAUGUAAAGCCCUUUUCUGGGGGAAGAGAACGGACGGUACCCCAGGAAUAAGCCCCGGCUAACUACGUGCCAGCAGCCGCGGUAAUACGUAGGGGGCAAGCGUUGUCCGGAAUUACUGGGCGUAAAGCGCGUGUAGGCGGGACGACAAGUCCGGCGUGAAAGGCUUGGGCUCAACCCAAGAUGGCCGUUGGAAACUGUCGUUCUUGAGGGUCGAAGAGGAGAGUGGAAUUCCUGGUGUAGCGGUGAAAUGCGUAGAGAUCAGGAGGAACACCCAUGGCGAAGGCAGCUCUCUGGUCGACCUCUGACGCUGAGACGCGAAAGCGUGGGGAGCGAACGG